GGACAAAUACCUAAUGCAUGCAGGGAUUAAAACCUAGAUGACGCGUUGAUAGGUGCAGCAAACCACCAUGGCACAUGUAUACCUCUAUAACAAACCUGCUCAUUCUGUACAGGUAUCCCAGAACUUAAACUGUAAUUAAAAAAAAUU